rnacentral:rRNA from 1 species
AUGGCCGCCAUGAAGAAGAUCGUGGUGAAGCUGGAACUGCACUGCGACAGGGAGAAGCAGAAGGCGAUCAAGACCGUCUCCACUCUCUGUGGUAUUGACCAGAUCGUCGUGGACACGAAGGACGGCAAGAUGACGGUCCUGGGCACAGUCGACCCCGUCGACGUCGUCUGCAAGCUGCGCAAGUGCUUCUGCUCGGUGUGGAUGGUCUCCGUCGGCCCGGCCAAGGAGGAGGAGAAGAACAAUGAGGGCGGCGGGGACAAGAAGGUCGGCGACACGAAGGGCGCGUGCACGGCCAUCCCAGUGCGCCAGCCGUGCUACCCGCCGCCUCACCACCCGCACCCGUGCUACUUCGUCCACCACACCGAGGAGCACCCCCACGAGUGCGUCAUCUGCUGA